GACGAACGCUGGCGGCGUGCUUAACACAUGCAAGUCGAACGGAAAGGCCCUGCUUUUGUGGGGUGCUCGAGUGGCGAACGGGUGAGUAACACGUGAGUAACCUGCCCUUGACUUUGGGAUAACUUCAGGAAACUGGGGCUAAUACCGGAUAGGAGCUCCUGCUGCAUGGUGGGGGUUGGAAAGUUUCGGCGGUUGGGGAUGGACUCGCGGCUUAUCAGCUUGUUGGUGGGGUAGUGGCUUACCAAGGCUUUGACGGGUAGCCGGCCUGAGAGGGUGACCGGCCACAGUGGGACUGAGGGACCGCCCGGAACCCAAAGGGAGGCCACAGUGGGGAAAGGUGGCAGAUGGGCGGAAGCCUGAUGCAGCAACGCCGCGUGCGGGAUGACGGCCUUCGGGUUGUAAACCGCUUUCGCCUGUGACGAAGCGUGAGUGACGGUAACGGGUAAAGAAGCACCGGCUAACUACGUG
rnacentral:rRNA from 1 species